rnacentral:rRNA from 1 species
AAGCGAAUAAGUGCACAUGGUGGAUGCCUUGGCAGUCAUAGGCGAUGAAGGACGUGGUAGCCUGCGAAAAGCUACGGGGAGCUGGCAAACAAGCUUUGAGCCGUAGAUGUCCGAAUGGGGAAACCCACCCUUUUAGGGGUAUCGCACAGUGAAUACAUAGCUGUGCGAGGCGAACCUGGAGAACUGAAACAUCUAAGUACCCAGAGGAAAAGAAAUCAACCGAGAUUCCGAGAGUAGUGGCGAGCGAAAUUGGAACAGCCUGUACGAUUUAGCAUUUGAGUUAACAAAACGGUCUUGAAAGUCCGGCCAUAGAAGGUGAUAGCCCUGUAUGUGAAAACUCGAUUGUGGAACUAGGCGUACGACAAGUAGGGCGGGGCACGAGAAACCCUGUCUGAACAUGGGGGGACCAUCCUCCAAGGCUAAAUACUCAUGACUGACCGAUAGUGAACUAGUACCGUGAGGGAAAGGUGAAAAGAACCCCGGGAGGGGAGUGAAAUAGAUCCUGAAACCGUGUGCAUACAAACAGUCGGAGCGGACUUGUUCCGUGACGGCGUACCUUUUGUAUAAUGGGUCAGCGACUUACAUUCAGUGGCAAGCUUAACCGAGUAGGGAAGGCGUAGCGAAAGCGAGUCCGAAUAGGGCGUCUAGUCGCUGGGUGUAGACCCGAAACCAGAUGAUCUAUCCAUGGCCAGGUUGAAGCGACGGUAAGACGUCGUGGAGGACCGAACCCACUUAGGUUGAAAACUGAGGGGAUGAGCUGUGGGUAGGGGUGAAAGGCCAAUCAAACUCCGUGAUAGCUGGUUCUCCCCGAAAUGCAUUUAGGUGCAGCGUCACGUGUUUCUUGCCGGAGGUAGAGCACUGGAUAGCUAAUGGGCCUUACCAGGUUACU